rnacentral:misc_RNA from 1 species
AAAGUUCUCAACUGCAUACAUUAUCAAUGGAUGUGGCUUGGAUGUGGGGGUCAUCUUGCAGGCUUCUCUCUGAAGUCGUCUGCUCCCCUGAAAUGCAUUAGUGGUAUCUGAGCUACUUUACAGAUGUGAUAAUUAUCUACAUCAAAGUAUGCUGCACACUGCUUCCUAACGAGUUUUGAAAUUUGAUGA